rnacentral:misc_RNA from 1 species
UCGGAAGGUGCGGCUGGAUCACCUCCUUUCUAGGGAGACAUACACCAGGCCGAGAGCUUGGAUGUCACUUAGGUCGACACUUUGGCCUGUAAGUAGACGUAGCAUAUGCGCUAGCUGUACUUACAACCUAACAUUGUUCGGUUUUGAGAGAUCUGUAAAGACUCUCAAAUGGUUUUAUACCAGAUACAAUUUAAUAGAUUUCGAUGGAUAUCUAGGCGCAUGAGAUGAACGACGUCGCCGCGUAAUGGUAAUUACGCAAGACAAGUGAAGCGAAUGCAACGACGAUAGACGCGAAAUAUAUGAAUUGUUUGUUCUUUGAAAACUGCAUAGAAGAUAAUUAUAUAUAUUUGUAAGGUCAUCUCUUAGAAUUUCUAAAUAGGUUGACCCGAGCACAUAGGAAAUAAUUCUCUGACUUAAUGGUGACGUACAUGAAAAUGUACGGCUACAUAAUAAACGACAAUGUAUCUAAUGCAUGUCAAUGAAAUCUUAAGUAAAGAUUUUAAGGGCGUACGGUGGAUGCCUUGGCGAUAUCAGCCGAAGAAGGACGCGGUAAGCUGCGAUAAGCUACGGAGAGGUGCAAGCAACCUUUGACCCGUAG